rnacentral:rRNA from 1 species
CCUACGGGUGGCAGCAGUGGGGAAUAUUGGACAAUGGGCGAAAGCCUGAUCCAGCCAUGCCGCGUGUGUGAAGAAGGCCUUCGGGUUGUAAAGCACUUUCAGUGGGGAAGAAAGCCUUAGGGCUAAUACCCUCGAGGAAGGACAUCACCCACAGAAGAAGCACCGGCUAACUCCGUGCCAGCAGCCGCGGUAAUACGGAGGGUGCGAGCGUUAAUCGGAAUUACUGGGCGUAAAGCGCGCGUAGGCGGUCUGAUAAGCCGGUUGUGAAAGCCCCGGGCUCAACCUGGGAACGGCAUCCGGAACUGUCAGGCUAGAGUGCAGGAGAGGAAGGUAGAAUUCCCGGUGUAGCGGUGAAAUGCGUAGAGAUCGGGAGGAAUACCAGUGGCGAAGGCGGCCUUCUGGACUGACACUGACGCUGAGGUGCGAAAGCGUGGGUAGCAAACAGGAUUAGAUACCCUGGUAGUC